rnacentral:rRNA from 1 species
AAGGGAAGACUCACAUAGAGGCAGCAGUAGAGAAUCUUGUGCAAUAAACGAAAGUAUGACACAGAGAGGACACAUUUAAUUGAGCCCGUCAAAUUAAGUGCCAGCCGACGCGGUUAAACUUAAGGGCUGGUCUUUAUAAGUAAAAAGGCGUAAAGGAUGUGUAGGCUAAGAAACGAUCCAAGUAGGUAAAUGGAAUUUUUCUGGAGCGGUAGAAUGUGAGGAUAGAAAAUAGAACCCCUAAGGUAAAAACUAUUUACUACAAGGUAGGCUGAAACAUGAGAGUGUGGGGAGCAAACAGGAUUAGAGACCCUGGUAGUCCACACUGUGAACUUUGAAGAUGAUGCUUAGCAGACCCGAAAGGUAAAAUCUUCCGCCUGAGUAGUACGAUCGCAAGAUUAAAAUUCAAAAACUUUGGCUGUUCACUAUUUCGAUUAGAGGAGCGUGUAGUUUAAUUCGAUGGUCCGCGUGUUACCUUACCCCAACUUGAAUCUAUGACCGGUAUUGCAUGGCCGUCGUAAGUUCGUGUAUUAAGCUAGAAGGGACCCAACCCGGGCAUUUGCCCGGAGGAAGUCAGGUCUUAUGAUCCGAAUGUUGGGGGAUUUUAUGCGCUACAUUUUCUUAUAUAAUGAGAAACCUGGAAGGUGAGUCUCUAAAGUAAGAGUUCGGAAGGUCGCUGUAAGACGACUGGAAGUUGGAUUUAAUAGUAAUCGGAAAGUAGGGCGUUCCGGUGAAUUGGUACAAGUGUUAGCACAAAUUGCCCGUCACCUUUACUUAGAAUGGUUAUUCGGACGUCUUCGGGU